rnacentral:rRNA from 1 species
GAUGAACGCUGGCGGCGUGCCUAAUACAUGCAAGUCGAGCGAACGGACGAGAAGCUUGCUUCUCCGAUGUUAGCGGCGGACGGGUGAGUAACACGUGGAUAACCUACCUAUAAGACUGGGAUAACUUCGGGAAACCGGAGCUAAUACCGGAUGAUAUUUUGAACCGCAUGGUUCAAAAGUGAAAGACGGUCUUGCUGUCACUUAUAGAUGGAUCCGCGCUGCAUUAGCUAGUUGGUAAGGUAACGGCUUACCAAGGCAACGAUGCAUAGCCGACCUGAGAGGGUGAUCGGCCACGCUGGAACUGAGACACGGUCCAGACUCCUACGGGAGGCAGCAGUAGGGAAUCUUCCGCAAUGGGCGAAAGCCUGACGGAGCAACGCCGCGUGAGUGAUGAAGGUCUUCGGAUCGUAAAACUCUGUUAUUAGGGAAGAACAUAUGUGUAAGUAACUGUGCACAUCUUGACGGUACCUAAUCAGAAAGCCACGGCUAACUACGUG